rnacentral:rRNA from 1 species
CCUACGGGAGGCAGCAGUGGGGGAUAUUGCACAAUGGGGGAAACCCUGAUGCAGCGACGCCGCGUGAGUGAAGAAGUAUUUCGGUAUGUAAAGCUCUAUCAGCAGGGAAGAAAAUGACAGUACCUGACCAAGAAGCCCCGGCUAACUACGUGCCAGCAGCCGCGGUAAUACGUAGGGGGCAAGCGGUAUCCGGAUUUACUGGGUGUAAAGGGAGCGUAGACGGUUAGGUAAGUCUGGAGUGAAAGCCCGGGGCCCAACCCCGGGACUGCGUUGGAAACUGUGUAACUGGAGUGCAGGUGGGGCAGGCGGAAUGUCUGGUGUAGCGGUGAAAUGCGUAGAUAUCAGGCGGAACACCGGCGGCGAAGGCGGCCUGCUGGACUGAAACUGACGUUGAGGCUCGAAAGCGUGGGGAGCAAACAGGAUUAGAUACCCCAGUAGUC